ensembl:lncRNA novel transcript
CAUCUGCGUCAGCCUCCCAAAGUGCUGGGAUUACAGGUGUGAGCCACCACACCCAGACAUUCAUCUUUAUUUUUAAAGGACAUUUUUACUGAACAUAAAAUUCUCUGAGUUGGCAGUUUUUUCUUUCAGCAAUCUUAAGAUGUUUAUGCCUUCUGGCUUCAACAGUUGGAGCAAGAAGAUUGCUGUAAUUCUUAUCUUGGUUCCUCUGGAUAUUUUUAAGGUUUUCUUUCUAUCAGCAAUUUGAUUACGAUGUGCCUCAUAAGGAUUUAUUUGUGUUUAUCCUGCUUGGGGUUUAUUGAGCUUUGUGGACUUGUACAUUUAUAGUUGUCACUACAGUUGGAAAUUUUUAAGCCAUUAUUUCUUUAAAUACGUUUCUAUCUCAAGAAGUACAGUUAUCUCCAAAUGAGCGUCAUCUACAUGUCCACAACUCUGAUCAGACCACUCUUAGAGCCAGUAAUGAUUAUUUUAAUACCUACCAUACUUUGUGUAUAUUUACUCCUCAGUAAAUAUUUGUAGAGCUGCACAUAGGGAAUUUCUUUAACACCUUUAAAGUUUAUUUAUUUAAAUAAGAAAUACAUGCCCAUGGUAAAUAUUUCAAAUAGUACAAAAAUAUUUCAAAUAGUACAAAAAAGGAGGUAUUCUGUGAAAAGUAAGUCUUUGUUUCACCAAAGAUACCAAUCCCUGCCCCCUCCCCGUCCUAAGGCCAUCACUGUUAGCAUUUCCUUUUUUCUCCUCCCAAAAUUGUCUGUGCAUGUUCAAGUAUAUAUGGAUAUAUAUCCUUGUGCUAGCAUACUAUAUACACUGUUCUGCAUCUUUUUAAAGUUUAAUAAUCUUGGCGAUCAUUCUAUAUCAGUACAUAUAAAGUGGGCUUUUUAUGAAUGGCCUAACAUUACAUCAUACAGAUGUAUCAUAAUUUAAUUAAGUGGUGCCCUGUUGGUGGAUAUUCAAGUCGUCUGGUCUUUUGCUAUUGCAAAUAAUGUUGCAGUAAAGUAAAAUGUAAAAUAAAAGUAAAUGUCUUACUUACUUAAAAACCUAUUUUAAAAGUAAAUGAUGGACUUUAGGAGGUUAAGAAUUAAAAAUUAAUAAACAUAUAAAUAAAUGAGGUACUCUAGCA